UUGAGGAUUCACAAAAUACACGCCUACAAAAUGACUUGAUGAAUUUGACGCAUUUUGCGGAUUCUUCUGACGAACUUUGUUGAAAUUCAGCUGCUAAUUCAUCAUCUUUACUUGAGUCUGAGAAACGACUGAACAGGGAGGCUGCGCCGCUUCAUGCUGAGAUGUUUCUCGACACCUGAGGCUCACCGGGGAGACAGUAACUCAUCGAGUCAACUUGGAGAUGAACUUUAAAGGAAGGUGUAACGAAUGAUCGCAGCCUCUCCGGCAAGUCAUAUCUGCUGAAGUGCCAUAACCCUCUAAAUAUCCUGACCUCAAUCUGGAGUCUGCAUGUUGAAGGCCCAUCGGAGAGGGAUGGUAUCGAUCUGAGCAGCAACUCUGGCAGCGUCUAUAAACAACCGGCUUCAGGCUUCAAGGCUGAGGAGACACAUCUCUAUUUCAGCUGGAGGGUUUGCAUCUGGAUACCUGAGUUGGGAUGUGGCACUGGACAGAUGGUGGGAUUUCUUUUUUCUUUGCUGAACUCACAGCAGGUCCAGCUCAUUUGUGAGACCAGAGCCAGUGAUAUCCUCCGUAGUGCUGGUUCUAUCAAGGUAAAUAAGGCCUCGAACCACAAGCUCCACAUGUUUUGCUUUAAAUAAUCACAUUAAUGUUAAAGAGUAUUGUAAAUAGAAAGCUACAAAGCAACAGUCAAUAUGUGGACGAGUGAUCAAUUCCUAACCAGCAGACAAAUAGUGUUUGAAGAUCUUCUAUAUCAGCAUUACAGUGACAGCCGACGUAGUGACUUUGGGGUCAUUAAUCAAUAAACACAAGCCAAGCAAUAUAUUUGACGUAGACUAAUUAAAUAAUAAUAAUCAUCAUCAUCAGGCAAAACAAACACAUUCUACAUUUGAACACAAAACACCAAAACAAACCCACAGUAAAUAUUGGGCAACCGUGUCAGACUAUUAUGUUGCUGUCUUGUUUACUUGCCUUCCCCUCUUUGUUUAGAAAGUUAAAUAAGUGUGCCUCAUAUAUUUAGAGUCAAACUGAGCUCACUCCCUGCUAAGCAGCUUGUCAAUAGGAAGGAAAGAGGUACAGGGCAAGAGGGGAGGUCUGAUAAAAUGGCUUUUAAUUACCAGACAGUGAAUGCUGGCCUUCCUUUUCUACUUUCUCCUCCCAGCUAAGUCAGGACUUUGAUUUCUGAUAAUGUGGAUUGCUGACUGGGCUUCAUCCUAGUUGCCCCUAAAGCAGAAGGACCUCACGUCAAGUCCUGGGAGAGUGUGUUUGACAAAGUGCCAUAUAGAUCCCCUGUAUUUCAUCAGAGGGCAGUGCUGCUCGAAGCAUUAAUCAGAUCAUUUGAUAGCCCGGCUUUGUUUCCCCUCUUUACUCUCCUGUAACAAUUAGGCAAAGUAAUAAUUCCAGGCAUCACAUGGAAAUCAAUGAGUCUUUAACCCAGCUGCUCGUACACGUGUAAAUGAUGAGAUCACUUCAGUUGCAAGUCGAUGGAAUGAAUUCACGCUCACUGGCCACUUUAUUAGGCACACCCAUCCAACUGCUUGUUAAGACAAAUAUCUAAUUAGCCUAUCACAUGGCAGUAACUCAAUGCACUUAGGCAUGUCGACAUGGUCAAGACAACCAUCACAUCAGAAGUUCAAACUGCUCAGCAACCUCUCAUUACCACCAGGAUAAGUAGAACACACAAGACUUGAAACAGAUGGGCUGCGGCAGAAGAAGACAGCACCAGGUGCCAUGACUGACACUAGCCUUGUGUACCUAAUAAAGUGGUCACAGAGUGUAUAACCUCUGCAAGAUACAGCAGAUAGGUUGGUAGGUGGGUAAACUGGUAGACAUGUGGGCAGUCAGGUAGAUUGCGACAUACCUACAUCGGUAGGUACCUACCUAUCUAGGUAUCACUACCUACCAAUAUAGCCACCAUAGCUAGGUCGCUAGGUAGACUGUCCAGUUGGUUUGGGGCUAGGUAGCUAGGCUAAAUAGCCCACCUACUUAGCCGUUCAGGAUUUAACACUCACAAGCUGCAGCAUGGAGCAGAACCUUUUUGCACCUGGUGAGCAAUGGGAAUUGGAUGCCUUGCCCAGGGGCACCCCAGCUCUUGCAGUUUGAAGUGGCCAUGGGCAACCCAUAGGCAGGUCCUAGCUAGGGAGGUAGGUGGGUGGAUAUAUGGCUAGGUAAGUAGGUAGAGCAGUAGGUAAGUAGGUAACCCUAACCCUAACUGGUACACAUGUGAGCAGGCAGGUAGGUAGCUACAUACCUACCUAUUUAGGUAGCUUUCCAGCUACCUACCUAUAGCCACCAUACUGUAGGUAGCUAGGUAGACUGUCCAGUAGGUAGGUGCUUCGGUAGCUAGGCUAAAUAGCCAACCUACUUAGCCGUUCAGGAUUUAACACUCACAAGGCGGGCGCAGCAGCAGGGUGCAUCACCUGGGGAGCAACGUGGAUUGGCCAUAGGUAUGUCCUAGCUAGGUAAGUAGGUGGAGCAGUAGGUGGGU